rnacentral:tRNA from 2 species
GCCUCAGUAGCUCAGGGGAUAGAGCACCACUCUCCUAAAGUGGGUGUCGCAGGUUCGAAUCCUGCCUGGGGCACAA